GAAUUCGCCCUUAGAGUUUCUUUCUGGCUCAGGAUGAACGCUGGCGGCGUGCCUAACACAUGCAAGUCGAGCGAAGCGUUUUGAAGGAAGUUUUCGGAUGGAAUUUGAAAUGACUGAGCGGCGGACGGGUGAGUAACGCGUGGGUAACCUGCCUCAUACAGGGGGAUAACAGUUAGAAAUGACUGCUAAUACCGCAUAAGCACACAGUACCGCAUGGUACAGAGUGAAAAACUCCGGUGGUAUGAGAUGGACCCGCGUCUGAUUAGCUGGUUGGCGGGGUAACGGCCCACCAAGGCGACGAUCAGUAGCCGACCUGAGAGGGUGACCGGCCACAUUGGGACUGAGACACGGCCCAAACUCCUACGGGAGGCAGCAGUGGGGAAUAUUGCACAAUGGGGGAAACCCUGAUGCAGCAACGCCGCGUGAGUGAAGAAGUAUUUCGGUAUGUAAAGCUCUAUCAGCAGGGAAGAAAGUGACGGUACCUGACUAAGAAGCCCCGGCUAACUACGUGCCAGCAGCCGCGGUAAUACGUAGGGGGCAAGCGUUAUCCGGAUUUACUGGGUGUAAAGGGAGCGUAGACGGCACAGCAAGUCUGAAGUGAAAUCCCCGGGCUCAACCCGGGAACUGCUUUGGAAACUGUUGGGCUGGAGUGCUGGAGAGGCAAGCGGAAUUCCUAGUGUAGCGGUGAAAUGCGUAGAUAUUAGGAGGAACACCAGUGGCGAAGGCGGCUUGCUGGACAGUAACUGACGUUGAGGCUCGAAAGCGUGGGGAGCAAACAGGAUUAGAUACCCUGGUAGUCCACGCCGUAAAC
rnacentral:rRNA from 1 species